rnacentral:rRNA from 1 species
AGAGUUUGAUCAUGGCUCAGAUUGAACGCUGGCGGCAGGCUUAACACAUGCAAGUCGAGCGGAGAUGAGGUGCUUGUACCUUAUCUUAGCGGCGGACGGGUGAGUAAUGCUUAGGAAUCUGCCUAUUAGUGGGGGACAACAUUCCGAAAGGAAUGCUAAUACCGCAUACGUCCUACGGGAGAAAGCAGGGGAUCUUCGGACCUUGCGCUAAUAGAUGAGCCUAAGUCGGAUUAGCUAGUUGGUGGGGUAAAGGCCUACCAAGGCGACGAUCUGUAGCGGGUCUGAGAGGAUGAUCCGCCACACUGGGACUGAGACACGGCCCAGACUCCUACGGGAGGCAGCAGUGGGGAAUAUUGGACAAUGGGGGGAACCCUGAUCCAGCCAUGCCGCGUGUGUGAAGAAGGCCUUAUGGUUGUAAAGCACUUUAAGCGAGGAGGAGGCUACUGAGACUAAUACUCUUGGAUAGUGGACGUUACUCGCAGAAUAAGCACCGGCUAACUCUGUGCCAGCAGCCGCGGUAAUACAGAGGGUGCGAGCGUUAAUCGGAUUUACUGGGCGUAAAGCGUGCGUAGGCGGCUUUUUAAGUCGGAUGUGAAAUCCCCGAGCUUAACUUGGGAAUUGCAUUCGAUACUGGGAAGCUAGAGUAUGGGAGAGGAUGGUAGAAUUCCAGGUGUAGCGGUGAAAUGCGUAGAGAUCUGGAGGAAUACCGAUGGCGAAGGCAGCCAUCUGGCCUAAUACUGACGCUGAGGUACGAAAGCAUGGGGAGCAAACAGGAUUAGAUACCCUGGUAGUCCAUGCCGUAAACGAUGUCUACUAGCCGUUGGGGCCUUUGAGGCUUUAGUGGCGCAGCUAACGCGAUAAGUAGACCGCC